rnacentral:lncRNA from 1 species
GUGCAGGAGCCGUGGGGGCAGCCCGGCCAGCUGGGAAGGCCUCACGGACAAGACGAGCAGGUUGCUGAUGGCAUGGCCAGAACCUGCAGUGGGACCAGGAACAAAAUACACUUAGUGAGUUGCCCAUUUUGAGCGAGUUGUGCACAGACGAAACUAAGGGUCAGAACCAGUGAGGGUGCCUACAAGAGGAGUCAAAGGGCAAAGGGUGAGACCCUUCCACCGGUCCAGCUGGACUCUAGCCUCAGGGACGUCCUGCUCCUGGGGGCAGGUGUGUGGCCCUGGAUGGGCCCCCCUGUGGGGCUGUUGGGGGUGCGGGGCUGAUCUGCCAGAGCCCUUCUGCCUGGCGCCUGGCCCAGGUGCUGGCUGGCACCCAGUGGCCCUGUCUUGGCCAGCCCUGUCCCCCGGGUUACAGGGCCAGAACCUGGAAGCAGAGCGCAGGACCAGCCAGAUCCCGCCAGGCUCCCCCGGGGCCUCUCCAGUGCCUCUGUGCCACCUGGAGCCAGGCCCGCCUUCUCCAU